rnacentral:rRNA from 1 species
UACGGGAGGCAGCAGUAGGGAAUCUUCCGCAAUGGACGAAAGUCUGACGGAGCAACGCCGCGUGAGUGAUGAAGGUUUUCGGAUCGUAAAGCUCUGUUGUUAGGGAAGAACAAGUGCGAGAGUAACUGCUCGCACCUUGACGGUACCUAACCAGAAAGCCACGGCUAACUACGUGCCAGCAGCCGCGGUAAUACGUAGGUGGCAAGCGUUGUCCGGAAUUAUUGGGCGUAAAGGGCUCGCAGGCGGUUUCUUAAGUCUGAUGUGAAAGCCCCCGGCUCAACCGGGGAGGGUCAUUGGAAACUGGGAAACUUGAGUGCAGAAGAGGAGAGUGGAAUUCCACGUGUAGCGGUGAAAUGCGUAGAGAUGUGGAGGAACACCAGUGGCGAAGGCGACUCUCUGGUCUGUAACUGACGCUGAGGAGCGAAAGCGUGGGGAGCGAACAGGAUUAGAUACCCUGGUAGUCCACGCCGUAAACGAUGAGUGCUAAGUGUUAGGGGGUUUCCGCCCCUUAGUGCUGCAGCUAACGCAUUAAGCACUCCGCCUGGGGGGUACGGUCGCAAGACUGAAACUCAAAGGAAUUGACGG